rnacentral:rRNA from 1 species
UACGAAGGGGGCUAGCGUUGCUCGGAAUUACUGGGCGUAAAGGGCGCGUAGGCGGGUCGUUAAGUUAGAGGUGAAAGCCCGGGGCUCAACCUCGGAAUUGCCUUCAAUACUGGCUGUCUUGAGUGUGAGAGAGGUGUGUGGAACUCCGAGUGUAGAGGUGAAAUUCGUAGAUAUUCGGAAGAACACCAGUGGCGAAGGCGACACACUGGCUCACUACUGACGCUGAGGCGCGAAAGCGUGGGGAGCAAACAGG